ACCUAGGUUCCUCUGGGAACCACCAAUUUGUUCUUUAUAUUUAAG
rfam:Felis catus isolate Cinnamon breed Abyssinian chromosome F1, whole genome shotgun sequence.